rnacentral:rRNA from 1 species
UUGUUGGAAAGGAAAAAGCGUAACAAGGUCUCCGUAGGUGAACCUGCGGAGGGAUCAUUACACAAAUAUGAAGGCGGGCUGGAACCUCUCGGGGUUACAGCCUUGCUGAAUUAUUCACCCUUGUCUUUUGCGUACUUCUUGUUUCCUUGGUGGGUUCGCCCACCACUAGGACAAACAUAAACCUUUUGUAAUUGCAAUCAGCGUCAGUAACAAAUUAAUAAUUACAACUUUCAACAACGGAUCUCUUGGUUCUGGCAUCGAUGAAGAACGCAGCGAAAUGCGAUAAGUAGUGUGAAUUGCAGAAUUCAGUGAAUCAUCGAAUCUUUGAACGCACAUUGCGCCCUUUGGUAUUCCAAAGGGCAUGCCUGUUCGAGCGUCAUUUGUACCCUCAAGCUUUGCUUGGUGUUGGGCGUCUUGUCUCUAGCUUUGCUGGAGACUCGCCUUAAAGUAAUUGGCAGCCGGCCUACUGGUUUCGGAGCGCAGCACAAGUCGCACUCUCUAUCAGCAAAGGUCUAGCAUCCAUUAAGCCUUUUUUUCAACUUUGACCUCGGAUCAGGUAGGAUUCUAACUUU